UGGGGAAUUUUGGACAAUGGGGAAACCCUGAUCCAGCCAUCCCGCGUGUGCGAUGAAGGCCUUCGGGUUGUAAAGCACUUUUGGCAGGAAAGAAACGUCGCGGGUUAAUACCCCGCGAAACUGACGGUACCUGCAGAAUAAGCACCGGCUAACUACGUGCCAGCAGCCGCGGUAAUACGUAGGGUGCAAGCGUUAAUCGGAAUUACUGGGCGUAAAGCGUGCGCAGGCGGUUCGGAAAGAAAGAUGUGAAAUCCCAGAGCUUAACUUUGGAACUGCAUUUUUAACUACCGGGCUAGAGUGUGUCAGAGGGAGGUGGAAUUCCGCGUGUAGCAGUGAAAUGCGUAGAUAUGCGGAGGAACACCGAUGGCGAAGGCAGCCUCCUGGGAUAACACUGACGCUCAUGCACGAAAGCGUGGGGAGCAAACAGGAUUAGAUACCCUGGUAGUCCACGCCCUAAACGAUGUCAACUAGCUGUUGGGGCCUUCGGGCCUUGGUAGCGCAGCUAACGCGUGAAGUUGACCGCCUGGGGAGU
rnacentral:rRNA from 1 species